rnacentral:rRNA from 1 species
GACGAACGCUGGCGGCGUGCUUAACACAUGCAAGUCGAACGGAAAGGCCCUGCUUUUGUGGUGUGCUCGAGUGGCGAACGGGUGAGUAACACGUGAGUAACCUGCCCUUGACUUUGGGAUAACUUCAGGAAACUGGGGCUAAUACCGGAUAGGAGCUCCUGCUGCAUGGUGGGGGUUGGAAAGUUUCGGCGGUUGGGGAUGGACUCGCGGCUUAUCAGCUUGUUGGUGGGGUAGUGGCUUACCAAGGCUUUGACGGGUAGCCGGCCUGAGAGGGUGACCGGCGUCAUUGGGACUAAGAGACGGCGCAGACUGCUACAGGAGGCAGCGGUGGGGAAUAUUACACAGUGAGCGGGAGCCUGAUACAGCGACGCCGCGUGCGGGAUGACGGCCUGCGGGUUGUGAACCGCUUUAGCCUGUGACGAAGCGUGAGUGACGGUAAUGGGUAAAGAAGCACCGGCUAACUACGUG